CCAAGCUAUACAUGUUAAGAUCCUUUAUCCUUUCCUGGUAAGUUUUAUACCGCAAUCCAUGAACCAGUUUAGUAGCCCUUCUCUGAACCCUUCUCUAAGGUAUCAAUAUCCUUCUGAAGAUACGGUCUCCAGUAUUGUGUACAAUACUCCAAGUGAGGUCUCACCAGUGUUCUGUACAAUGGCAUGAGCACUUCCCUCUUUCUACU